AUCUUGAGGGUUGCUGUAGUUAACAUAACCAUAACCAAGUGACCUCCUAGUGGUCAAAUCCCUGCAAACCCUAACAGACACAACCUGACCCAAUUGGUUGAAAAGGUCAUAAAGCUGAGAAUCCGUAACAUUGACAUCAAGAUCUCCAACGUAAAGCGAAGUCGUCACAAACUGAUUCCCACCAGCCGCUGCUGCAGCCGCUGAUUGAAAAGGUCAUAAAGCUGAGAAUCCGUAACAUUGACAUCAAGAUCUCCAACGUAAAGCGAAGUCGUCACAAACUGAUUCCCACCAGCCGCUGCUGCAGCCGCUGCUGCCGCCGCAGCAGCACCGCCGUUCGGGCCCGACAUCGCAUUCUGAGGCUGAACCUGAACCUGAGCCAUCUCAAUUCCUCAGCAAAAACGAUCAAAUUUAGGUUUUUUUUUCAAAAAUUUCCUAAUUUCCCCCGAAAUUUUUUCUUUUUUUUUUCUCUUCCCCCUCCUCUUGUUAUUGAUAACAAUAAAACCUAGGAAGAACAGAAAAAACUAGCGAUAAAUUGAUGGAACAAAAGCAUAUAAUUUUUUUGAUUUUGAUUUGGGGAAAACGAGGAGAGGGAAGCGAAGGGAAAAGAAUACGGAAAAAGAUAGGAAAUAAAAUAAAAAUAAAUAAAAGAGAGAAAAAUUGAAGAUGACGGAAGAGGUAGCAGAGCAAGAGCACUGCGGUGUGGAAAGAAGUAAAAACGGUGAAGCGAGAAAGUAUAAAAGAGACGGCGAGUGAGGGUAAACCCUAGCACAAUCCAACGAGGAGAUCUGGGCCGUUGAAUGGGAAAGGGUGUGGGGUCAGGAUGGAUAUGGUAGAUAAGGAUUGGGAAUUUUGGGGAAGGAGGAGAAAGGUAAAUAGGUUGAUGAGAGAGUGAAAAUAAUGAAGUAGGGUAAGUAACCGGUAAAAAUAAUGAAAAAUUCCAGUUAAAGUAGAGCUGUUUGUUUUGUAUUUUAUUUUAUUUUUGACAAUUAAUUAAUUCAUUAUCAAAAAUAAAAUAUGCAAAAAUAUAUAUAUGGUCUCACAUGAAUUCAAAUUCAAAGCCUUACAAUUAUGAUUAUACAGAAUAUUAUUUUUUAUUUAUUAAUUUAAUGGCUGAAAUUUUACCUCUUAAAAUUAAAGUAAGAAAUAUAUUGGUAAAAAUAAUUAUCAUUUCAACAAAUAUUUAAACACUUGAUUUCAUUACUAAUUUAAAAAAAUAAACAAAAUCAAUCAUAAAUAUUACUUUAAGAGUAACUCUAUAUAAAACUAUUUUGUUAAAUAAUUUAAUAUAAUUAGAAACUACUGGUGUAAAGUUAUAUGUAGAUCCAAUCAAAUCAAAUAAAAGUGUUUCUACAAUAUCUUUUCAAAUAUUUACUUUAUGAGAUUUUAUAGAUGGGUGUAGCUCUCUUCUAAAUAUUAAAUUCUAUUAAUUAAAUUAUUGAAUUAAAAUUAUCUUUUUUAUUUAAAUUAAAAUUUAUAUGGGAUAUAUUUUUGUAAUUUCAAAACUAUUUGAUACUUUAUCUUAGAAUUUGAUGCAUACAUGACCUUUUUGUGAAAAAAAUCGAUUAUUUUAUUAGAUUGAAGACUCAAUUUAAUUUCUCAUUAAAAUUAUAAAAUUCAAUUUAAUCCGUGAAAAAAGUUAUACUUAAUCCUUUACAAUCUCUUGUUAAUAUAUUUUUUUAAAAUUUUUUUUUCUUUUGAACUAUUUCUGUCAUAUGUAUUAUUUAUGACACAUGCGAUUUUUAAUAAUUAUGUAUUUAUAUAUUUUUUGUUUUUAAGAAUUGUUUGAUAUUAUUACAUAUCAUAAAAAUUAUAUGUCACUAAUGUAUAUUGACAUACAGUAAAAUAAAGACAUAAAUUUUUUGGGUUCAAUUCCUUUUAAGAAAAAAGUUUUUUUUUAUAUUUUAAAAUUUGAAUUGUUUAAAAAUAAAAUAAAGAAUAAAGAAUAAAAAAUAAAAAUAAAUUUAGUAUUUAAAAUUGAAAAAUAAAUAAUAAGUCCAACGUGACCGCUCAUGUAAUUAUAAAAUGCAUGUGGCAUAAAUAAUACACAUGACAAUUCAGUCACGUUUAAAAAUAGAGAAAAAAAUGGAUUGAAAAAUUAAAUAAUCUAUUUUAUCGAGAAUUAAUGUGAGUUAUGUAGUUUUUGUGAGGGAAAUGGGUCUUCACUCAAUUUAUUAUAUAUCUAUAAUCGUCAAAUUUAAAAUAAUAUGUAAAGUUCUUCUAUGCAAUAAAAAAAUUGGUUUAAUUUAAUUUUUGGUGAUUUAACUUAAUUAAGUUUUCAAUUGAUUCUCUUAUUUAAUUAAUAUUAUUUUUUAUUUUCUAAAAAAUUAUUUUAUCAAUCAAUUUAGUUUAUUUUACUAACAUUUAAAUUUAAAUAUUUUAGGUGGGAUAAAAUUGUAAGAUGUCUAUUAUAAACUUUAUUAUUUUUUAAUUUUAACUUAUUGAUCUUUUUAAAGAAUUUUAUAUUUUUGAAUUUUGACGGUCUAUUAAUUAUAACGAUACGCCAUCAAAAGGUAAUAUUUGUAUAUAUUUAUUUAAUGUACCAUUAUAAUUAAUAGACCUUCAAGAUUCAAAUAUGUGAAAUUAUUUAAAAAGAUCAUGGGAUUAAAAUAAAUAGUAACAAUAACAAUGUUUUAAAAAUUGGAUCAAACCGGUCGGUUCAAUCGAUUGGACUGGAAAUCGGAGAUAAUUCUGGUUGGAUCAACCUUUUAAAAUCGCUAAUGGAUCAAAAUCGAAGUAAACCGGAAAAAUUGAAUUGAACCGUCCAAAAUCAUUCUAACCAAAGAACCGGAGCUGGUUUUGUAAAACCGUCUGAUUCAAAAAAAAUGUAUCAAAUUGACCAUUUUUAAAAUUUUCUUAAAAAAUUUAAUAUUUUAAUAUGAAAACUUAACCUACAUUCUCAUUCAAAAAAAAUAUGUAUUUUUUUACGAUCAUACGAACUUCAAAGUUUUGUCACUCAAUUAUAGUUUUUCUUUCAACCACAUUUCAUUAUCACACGCCGUCUGGUUCAAACAUAAUCACGAUAUUCAACUCAAUAUUGAUUAUUACUCUUAAACAAAAAAAAUAUAUUCAAUAAUCAAACAUAAUUUUUUUGUCUAGAAGUAAAACACAAUUGAAUGUAAAGUAUAAUAGUAAUAAUCUUGAAGAUUUUGUCAAUGAUACAAUAUUAAAAAUAUAAAUAUACAUUUGAAAAGUGCAUUGUCGGUGUAAGGAAGUAUUACACUGACAUCCGAUCAAAAUAUUUUAUAUUGUCAAAUCAUAACAGUAUUUUAAAAAUAAAAGUGUGAUGUGGCGGGAUAUACGAAUCUCAUUGAUUGACACUGUAAAAAUAUUUUUUACUGUCUGUGCAUAUUCCUUUUUUUCUUUUAAAAAAAUAUGAGAGCAACAAAGACUUUAGACAUUUUAUAAAAAUAUAAAUAUAUAUUUGAAAAAAAAUAUGUAAUUUGAUAAUAUAUAAAGGGAAUAAUAUCUCUUUUGCCCCUAUCAUAUUUGUGAUAUUUAAAAAACUUAAUAGAAAAAAUGAAUUUUCUUUCUCCUUUAAGAACGAAGAUUCCUCUAUUUUGAUCCUCAUUAUAUUUAGUCAUAAAAAAAUAUAUGAUAGGUAAUUUUUUUUAAUUACUGGAUUGUCAAUUUGAUUUUUUUUCUCUAAGUUCUUAUUUUUUUUAAAUCCAUGUGACAUUUUUUUAUUAUUUUAAGUAUGAAGAUUUUAAAAGCUUCAAACACCAAAAUUUAAAAACCAAAGGAGUGAUGAAUCCAGGACCACAGACCGAAUGAAGAGGCACCAUUACCAUUGGAUCAUGCUGCCAACUUUAUUUUUUAUCCCACCAAAUAUACUUAUUAAAUACUUUAUUCUCAAGAUUAGAAUAAAUAUAUUUCAAAUAUUUUGAUUACAUAUUUAAAUAUACUUAUAUAUAGUUUAUUAAAUAUGAAAUUUAUAUAAUAAUAUUAAAUAUAAAAUAUAUUUUUUAAUUAAUAUUAUUAAGUAUGCAAUAUAUUAUAUAGUUAAUUAGUAUUAUUAAAUAUGAAAUUUAUAUAAUAAAUUAAUAUUAUUUUAUAUGAAAUAUGUUUUUAAAUUAAUGUUAUUAAAUAUAAAAUAUAUUUAUAGAAUAAAAUAAUAUUGUUAAAUAUGAAAUAUAUUUAUAUAAUAAUUAAUACUAUUAACAAUGAAAUAUAUUUUUAAACUAAUAUUAUUAAAUAUUAAAUAUGUUUAUAUAAUAGAUGAAUAUUAUUAAAUAAAAAAUUUAUAUAAUAAAUUAAUAUUACUGGAUAUGAAAUAUAUUUUUAAAUUAAUGUUUUUAAAUAUUAAAUAUUUUUAUAUAUUAAAUUAAUACAUUUAAUAUGAAAUAUACUUAUAUAAUAAACUAAUAUUGUUAAAUAUGGAAUAUAUUUAUAUAAUAUAUUAAUAUUAUUAAAUAUGAAAUAUAUUUAUAUAAUAAAUUAAUAUUAUUAAAUAUGAAAUAUAUUUAUAGAAUAUUAUUAUUAAAUAUUUAAUAAUAUUGAUCUCACCUGAUCAGGAGGGCCUUCCAAGGUCUUGGUGAAUGGGCCGGAGAAUGAAAUGAGAGGGGGGUGUACCUGCAAGGUGCUCCAACGCUUAAGUCAGAAAAGGUACAGAAUGAGAUUAUCAGAGUGUGAGUUAGAAUACCUGCCCCUUUGCCAUGAAAGGGGUAUUUAUAUUGAGCCCCCAGCGCUGGGCCAAGGCUCCUAAUGGGCUGGAUUAGCUAGGCCCAAGGAGGAGCUGCCAGGGGACGCGUAAGAAGCGUUAAGACCUAGACCAAGGUCUGCCCCCUGGUCCAACUGCCCCUAUCCCUAAGGAGACAAUAUAGGGGAGUUGGGUGACGUGGUGAGUGAGAUGCCGUUAUGGCUCUGCCCGACACAACUUAGGUGUCCGCGACGUGGGUUGACGAUGAGUGGAUGGAGAUCAUAUGAGGAGGACCCGCUCGUUGUCCGACACGUAUUUAAGGGGCCGGGGAGACAUUCUCCGGGCGGACGGUCGUUCACCUGACGUGUCCUCGUGGUCGCUUGGAUACGGUCGUUUGGACGUGGGCUUGGCGAGCAUUGGGCCGUGCCGUGCUAAGUGUCGUGGCCCAGUCCAGAACAGGAGCCCCCCAAGUCGAGUCUCUGAGCCAGAGAGAUGACUUAUGUUUCAACUAAGGGUUCCCCGAGACGAUGGGGAAGCUUGAUCGUUAGACAGGUGAGGUCGUAACAGACCUAUUCAUGACUGACAUUUCUCCGGGAAUGUCGGGGAUGGAGGUGAUCGGUUGAUCUGCACCUUCCUUGUAGUAAACGUGGGUAUGGCGCGGGGAGGAGGCGUCUUGGUGAGUCGAGGAGACGGACAGGUGCUCGGGUCGUUUCAGCUUCUUGUCUUUGAUAGACGUGUCUCACGAUUAGUGGCGUCGCUUCGUUUCGCGCGCAAAGACGGCGUAGGCAGGCUAGGCAAUGAUGACCUAGCGUGUUGGUCCACGUGCCAAGCCCUAUAAAAAGGGGUUGAGUAACUUCAUUUCUACCUUUUUUUCUCGCUCAUACGUUCACCGGAGAUCUCCACCUUCUCUCUCGUUUGCUCGCUCAACCGUCUGGACCGCCGUCUCCGCCCGUCCUCCUAUCUGAACCACCGUCUUCUGCUCGGACACCACCGUACCCUUUCAACUUAACUAUGUCAGGUAUGAUUUUCCACUGUGACCCAUUCUUUUUCCUUGUUGUUUUCUGUCAAACGCAUGAUAAUGUUGUAGAAAUGUGGUUAGGUUUAACUUGGGAACAGUGUAGUGGACUGUAGGUGUAUAUUAGAUGGUAGAAAAUAGGGUUGGGAUCCUACUGUACCGGGCAUAAACUUCAUAUGCUGGGCAAUACUUGCAUAGGCUGUAUGAAGUUUAUGCCCGGUCUCCAUAGAAUGCGCGCGCCACCGAGUUGAGCGCGGUUAGUGUCCGUCGCCGCUACGCCCUUUCACUUGACCUGCGGUGGAAGGGUGGAUUUGAUAUGACGUCGAAUUCACUCUUUCUGUCUGCGUUUCAGGUGCUACCGGGCGCUUACGACCGAGGAAGGAAGAUUCUGGGUCCUCCACCGAAGACGCGACAAUCGCUCGUCUCCCUGUCGGGGAUGGGAGUGUCCGAGAUGGUACCGAACACGCCUCCUCUUCCGGGCAGGUCGACUUCUCAUGGGUUGCGGACGAGCCCUUGGAGGAGGAAUCAGACUUCUGUGACGAGGCCAUCACUGCUCACGCUAUGGUCGAGGCCAUAAGCCGGGAGGAUCCACCAAACUGGUAUUGCUGCGCCCCCAAGGAAGAAGACCGCAUUUGUCAUCAUUUCCCGGGGAAGCAGUUCACCAUGUAUGAAUUUGCUUUUCGUGAGGCGGGGAUUAGACUGCCCUUCAACUCCUUCCAGAUGUCGGUCUUCAAGUGGCUCCGGCUGGCGCCGUCCCAACUACAUCCUAAUGCUCUCGCAUUUAUGCGGGCAUUCGAGUUAGUUUGCCAGUUCCUCGGCAUUGGUUGCACCCGGGCUCUCUUCUUCCACGUUUUCCAUCUCCAGAGGUCCGGUUCCCGUGGUCGCCACAGUUGGGUUUCUUUCAAGCAGCCCGUGCGUCUGUUCAAGACGUACGAGGAUUCUGUUCGCCAUUUCAAAAGCCGGUGGUACGUGGUGAUGCCGAUUACCCGGGCUGCCCUUCACUCUCUCUACUACUAUCAACGGGAACCCAACGGGGAGGAGACGCUGAUGUCGAAGAUACCGCUGAGGUGGCAGCGUGAUCAUUUCGAUCUCUCCACGGCGCAUUACCGGGUCAAGUACGCGAUGCUCGGCGAGGAGGAUAGGCUCGCGUACAAGAAGCUGGUCGAUUACGUGCAGAGCUUCAGCUUGGCGUUCUGGGCGAAUCGACAGGGCGUGCCCUACCUGGAUGAGGCCGGGGAGCUAAUCACCGAGACGCGUUAUAUCAAUACGAAGGCUCUGCUCGAGUGUGAUACCGAGGAGGAAGCUCUGGCGUUAUUGAGUAGGCAGACUUUGUUUAGCUUUUUAUUUCUGUUUAUGACUUCGGUCGCUAAUGUUUGUGUGUAAUUUAUUUGCAGGUGCCAUGCCCAAUGCUCGUGAUCGGGUGCUGAAGCUAGCGAAUCAGGUCGGCGCUCCUGACCGGGUGCCCAAGAAGAAGAAGAAAACUGCGGCCCGUGUCUCGGAGACUGCUGGCGAUGCCGGGGUCGGUCCCUCGCAGGCGGCGAGCGUGAUUCCUUCCUCUCCUCCUCGGUCUAACCCGAUCAACAUUCCUGAUAGCAGUCCGUCGCCAGCGGCUUCUCCCCUCCAUAAACGGAAGCGUCCGGCUGGGGCCCUUACCAGGUCGUCUCCAGGAAGUUCGCAUGGACCGGGCAGCUAUCUUCUGCCUCCCUGCUAUGUGGAACGGUCGUUCUUCAAGGCCGAGGAGUCGAUUGCUGUGCCUGCGCCUGAGGCCAAGGCUAUUCUGGACCAGGAUGUUGCUGCCCGGAGGAAAGAUCUGGCCAGGGAUAUUGCUGCCGUCAUCCGGGUGAUGGAGACGGCCAUGGUUCUGACCGACACUUCGGUCUCCACCGCCUCGCUGGAGGAAGCCCUUUUGCAGGUUCGGACAGAGAAGGAAAGACUAUCUCAAGAUCUGUCGGACUACAAAGAAGAGCAUCAGCUGCAGGAAGGGCUGCGCCAGAAGCUGGAGGAGGUGGAAAGGGAGAGGGACCAGUUGAAGGCUGCUAAGGCGAGCCUGGAAGAGCAGGUGGUCGACCAUCAGAAGCUGACCGAGGACAACGCCUACCUACGGGCUCAGGUUGAGUCUCUCGAGGGAAAGGUCCGUCCUCUGGCAGAUGAGACCGAGGAGGAACGCGCCCUUGGUUCGCGCGGUGAGCUGCUAGGGCAUAUUCGGACUCUCAACCAAGAUCUUGUGGCCUGCUUCAAAGAGGGUUUCGACAAUGCUGUCGAGCAGCUCGGGCUUCUGAACCCUGAGUUGGUGACGGAAGGGUCGGCCUAUAACUGCUGCGUCCGGGAUGGUGAGAUCAUCUGCCCGUUUGAAGUGGAGGAGGAGCUGGGGGGAGAAGAAGAAGAAGAGGAUGAAGAGGAGCUCCGAGCGGAGUCUUAGUUUAUAUGUUUUUCUUAUCAUGGCCUGCGUGCCUUAUGUAUUUUGGCCUUCGGGCGUUGUAAUAUGGCCUUCGGGCGUACUUGGCUUCGGCCGCUUUUAUCGUUUCUAAUGUAUGAAUAUUUUUGUUACCAUUCAUUGUGCUCGUUUGUGUUUGAUACUUGUUUGCAUGAAUUCGUACUCUGCUCGACUUUGUUAAUCUCCUCGGUUUAGGGAACCGACGAAGUGUCGGGCUUUGUGCCCGUGGGUAUCGAAGCCCGGGUCCGUUGUUCGAACCCUGGUCCCGAGGCUUGGGUCCUCCCAUCGCGAGCUGGGUGCCCUGCCAGUCUUGGUACUUCGACGUUGAGCCUUGGUCAAGAUCCCAACCGUCGGGGAGGGUUGUGUUUGUUAUGUGACCCCGGAUCGUUCCCGGGUCUCGUGGUUCCUCCCUGGGGUUUUGGGGACGAAGAGCGUGGUCGUACCUGCCACGUCUCCCCGUGGUGUAUUUAGCUGUAAUAUUGUCUAAGUUUUUCUGCGUUCCAUGGUCGAGCGAGUUGUUCUCCUUGUAGGUUUUCUAGGUAAUAGGCCCCGUUGCUCGUUUUGUCGCGGACGCGGUAAGGGCCUUCCCAGUUGGCCGCCAGUUUGCCCUCUCUCGGGUUUUUCUGGUUUCUUCUGAGGACCAGGGUGCCGACCUGGAACUCUCUUUUUAUGACUUUCGCGUCAUGGCGUAGUGCUAUCUUUUGUUUGAGGGUUGUUUCCCGGAGAGCUGCUUCGGAACGUAUCUCCUCGACUAGGUCGAGCUCGGCUCUAAGGGUUUCAUCGUUCAUUUCCUCGUCUAGGGGCUCCUCUGUCCUCCUCGUUGGCGUCCGUAUCUCCACCGGGAUGACUGCCUCGGUGCCGUAAGUUAGUCGGAACGGGGUUUCCCCGGUGGUAGAAUGUGGUGUCGUGCGGUAGGCCCAUAGGACGCUAUGUAGCUCCUCGACCCAUGCCCUCUUUGCCUCGCCGAGUCUGCGUUUGAGGCCACGUAAGAUUACCCUGUUGGCCGCCUCUGCCUGCCCGUUCGUCUGCGGAUGCUCGACAGACGUGAAAUGCUGUGUGGUGCCCAGGCUGGCGAUGAAGUCCUGGAAUCCUCCGUCCGUGAAUUGUGUCCCGUUGUCUGUGACAAGUGCCUGGGGUAUACCGAACCGAGCGAGGAUGUUGCGUUUGAAGAACCGGAGAAUGUUCUGCGCGGUUAUUUUAGCCAGUGCCUCCGCCUCGAUCCAUUUGGUGAAGUAAUCCACCCCGACGAUGAGGUAUUUAUUCUGAUAUGAUCCGGUGACGAAGGGUCCGAGGAUGUCCAUGCCCCACCACGCGAAGGGCCAUGGGGAAGACAGUGAUUUGAGGUCGUUCGGGGGUGCGAGGUGCAUGUCGGCAUGUCGUUGGCAUUUGUCACAUCUUUUGACGUGCUCUUUCGAAUCGUUUUGCAUGGUCGGCCAGUAGUAGCCUGCUCGAAGGGCUUUUCGUGCGAGCGAUCGUCCGCCGAGGUGUUGAGCGUUAAUUCCCCGGUGUAUCUCUCCAAGUAUGUCGGGGACUUUCUCUUCCUCGACGCAUUUGAGUAGUGGGAUGGAGAAUCCUCUCCGGUAGAGUUUGCCUUCGAGGAGUACGUACGAGCAUGCGCGUCGUUUGACAGUGGUCGCCUCUUUCGGGUCAGCCGGGAGUUCGUCUCGUGUGAGGUAAUUGUAGAUGGGUGUCAUCCAACAGUGGGCAUCUCCAAUAGCGUUGACCUCGAGUGGAGGCGGUAGUUUGUCGAUGCUGGGCCGAGGGAGAAUUUCUUGGAUUACUGAUUUAUUCCCACCCUUUUUCCUCGUGCUGGCUAGUUUCGAGAGAACGUCUGCCCGUGUGUUGUGCUCGCGGGGUAUGUGUUGAACUUCCCAUUUUUCAAAUCUAUCAAGUUUUUCUUUGACGAGGGACAAGUACCCGAGGAGGUUGUCGUUCUUGGUUUGGUAUUCUCCUCGCACUUGUGAGGCCACGAGCUGGGAGUCGGUGGAUAUUUUUACCUCUUUUGCUCCCAGGUCCUCGGCUAACCUCAGGCCUGCGAGGAAGGCUUCGUAUUCGGCUUGGUUGUUUGAUGUUGGGAACGCUAGCGCUAAUGAUACCUCUAUCAGGAUCCCUUCUUCAUUUUCGAGGAUGAUCCCGGCCCCGCUGCCUGAUGUGCUAGAGGCGCCAUCGACGAAGAUCGUCCAUUUGUGGGCGCUUUCUGCUGGAGUCGGGCAGUGGGUCAUCUCCGCGACGAAGUCGGCCAGUGCCUGAGCUUUCAAGGCUUUCCUACUUUCGUAUUGUAUGUCGAAUUCGGAGAGUUCUAGUGACCACUUGAGCAUCCUCCCGGCCAUAUCCGGGCGCCCGAGCAGCUGUUUGAUUGGCUGGUCGGUCCUCACCUUUAUCGUGUGUGCGAGGAAGUAAUAUCGUAGUCUCCUCGCUGUGUUGAUGAGGGCCAGGGCGACCUUUUCGAUUUGCUGAUAUCGGAGCUCGGGACCUUGGAGUGCUUUACUCGUAAAAUAGAUGGGCUUUUGUCCUUCGUCGGUUUCUCUUAUUAGAACGGCGCUGACGGCCUCGGUUGCCACGGAUAGGUAUAAGUAUAGGGUUUCCUUUUCUGAUGGCCGUGAUAAGACCGGGGGUUGGGACAGAACCUUCUUUAGAUGGAGUAGCGCUUGCUCGCAUUCAUCGGUCCAGUCGAAGGUAGCCUCUUUGCGAAGGAGUCUGAAGAAUGGCAAUGCGUGCUGGGCGGACUUGGCGAUGAAACGGGAGAGUGAGGCGAGCACUCCAUUGAGUGACUGGAUCGAUUUUUUGGUUUUCGGGGUCGGAAACUCCGAGAAUGCCCGGCAUUUGUCGGGGUUGGCCUCGAUCCCUCUUUCGGUGAGAUAGAAACCGAGGAACUUGCCUGCCCGGACUCCGAACGUGCAUUUCUCGGGGUUGAACCUCAUUUUACACUGUCUCGCCUGCUCGAAUACCUUCGUAAGGUGUCGAGCAUGGGUUAUCUCCUCGUGUGAUUUGACGAUCAUGUCGUCCAUGUAUACUUCGAGCAUGUCCCCUAUUUCGUCCUUGAAGACUUUGUUCAUCAUGCGUUGGUAUGUAGCGCCAGCGUUCUUGAGCCCGAACGGCAUCACGUUGUAAUAGUAAUUGCCCGUUGGGGUCAUGAACGCUGUGUGUUUCUUGUCUGCGGGCGACAUAGGGAUCUGGUUGUAUCCACUAUAUGCGUCCAUGAAGGACAAGAGUUUAAAACCUGCAGAGUUGUCAACGAGCGAGUCUAUAUUAGGGAGGGGGAAAGCAUCUUUCGGGCAAGCCCUAUUAAGAUCAGUAUAAUCAACACACAUACGCCAUUUUCCAUUAUUUUUCUUAACGAGGACUACAUUAGAGAGCCAGGUUGUGUACUGGGCUUCAGAAAUAAAAUUUGCCUCUAAGAGGUCUUUUACAGCUCGCUCGGCAGCCUCUGCCUUUUCGGGCGAUUGCUUGCGUCUACGCUGUGCUAUGGGCUUGGCUGCCCGGUCUACAGCUAGCUUAUGACACGCGAUCUCGGGGUCCAGCCCGGGCAUUUCUGCGGCAUUCCACGCGAAGAGGUCGGAGUUCUCUUUGAGGCAUGCUACUAGCUCUUCUCUUGUUUCCUCGGGUAGUCCCUUACCUAUCUUCACCGUCCUUUCCGGAUCGUCCCCAAGAGGAAUGAGUUCGAACUCCCCGUCGGGGAUUGGUCGGACCGGGUGUUCGAGAGAGCGUUCCUUGGGGAACCUCCCCUCUUCGGUCUCGUCCAGCCCGAUGCGACAGUCGAGGUCGAUGGCGUUGACUCCUCGGGCAGGAUCCUCGGUCUUGAGUUUUUUGUUGUUGCAGUUGCUCUUCGUGCUGACUACGGCCUGUCCUUUUACUGCGGCGUCGUAGCAUCGUCGGGCUGCUUCGAUGUCACCAUGGAUGGUGACCACACGUCCCAAUUUGGUGUAGUAUUUCAUCUUCAGGUGGACGGUGGAUGGGACCGCAGUGAGUUCGGCCAGUGUCGGGCGUCCAAAGAUGCAAUUGUAGAGAGACGGACAGUCUACGACCAGGAAUUGGAUUUUGACUUCCCUGGCCGUUUCUUGUUCGCCGAAGGUGACGAGGAGCUCAACAUAUCCCCACGGUCUGGUUGUUGCUCCGUUGAAUCCUUGGAGAUCUGAUCCGACGUAGGGGGCUAAGUUGGUCUUGUCUAGCUUCAGAGUCUUGAAGAGGUGGACGUACAUGAUAUCCACUGAGCUGCCUUCGUCGACCAGGAUGCGUCGUACGUCGAAUCGGGCCAUCUUUGCUCUUAUCAAUAGUGGGAUGGCCGAGUUCGGGGAUCCGCCCGGGAGUUCCUCCAGGAAGAAGGAUAUUGGGUUGGAUUUUCCCCGGUAUUUUGUCAAUGUCGCUUUCUGCUCGGGGGCAGUCAGUAGGAGUUCGUCGAACUUACGUUUGACGGAGAGGGCCGCGGAUUCCCCGUUAGUUCCUCCUCCUGAUAUCACCAGUGUGGUAGGGAAGUCUUCCCAGGGGCUGAGUGCAGUGAUCUUGCCCUCGGGCAAUGGUUCGGGGAGGAAGAAAUCUUCCGGUCGUGACACGCAGAGGGCCACUUGAUAGGGAGAGUUGUCGGGGGGUGUGUUUUCCCGGGGUCUCUUCUUCUCUGGCUCGUCGUGUCUGGGAGCUUCGUUCUUCCUCGUGUACUGCUUCAGGUGCCCUUCUUGGAUUAAAAUUUCAAUCGCAUCUUUCAGGUGGACGCAGUCUUCGGUCACGUGCCCGUGACUUCUGUGGAACCGGCAGUACUUUGAUUUGUCGGUGUGGGGCUUUGGUGCAGACGGUUUUGGGAACCUGACCCUGCCCUGCUUAAAUUCAGAGUUGAUACAUUCUGCGAGGAUACGCUCUCGAGGAGCUGUCAGUAAGGUGUACUCGCUAUAUCUGCCCGCGGGGCCUCUUCCUUCCCGGAGCUCGCGAGGUCUUUCUUCUCUUCGUUUGUCUCCGUUGCGACGGGAAAUGCUCGUGUCCUCGCGUUUUGAGUGCUCGGUCUCCCCAGCGUUACGUCCGCUGCGGGCAUUGUGUGCCACCUGCUUUUCCUCGUAUCUGAUGUAGGCCUGGGCUUUAUGCAGGAGCUCGUUUAAGGUGCGGGGAGGCUCGAUCCCUACGGCUCUGCUAAGUUCACUGCCGGGUAAGAGACCUCUCUCGAGGAGAUACUUCUUCAUGUGCUCGGUGGUAUCUACCUCGACAGCUUCCUGGUUGAAUCGCUCGAUGUAUGAGCGCAGUGUUUCAUUCUUCUUCUGCACUAUGGCUUCAAGGGUCGCCUCAGUCUUGGGGUGACGACGGGAAGCUGUAAAGUGCCUGGUGAACAUGGACCUCAUGACUCUCCAUGACGUAAUGGACUCAGGGGCCAAGCUUUUGUACCAAGCCAUGGCCCCUUUCCUGAGGGUCGUUGAGAACAGUCGGCAUUUGAGGUGCCCGGUUAUAUCAUUGCGGUAGUCGAGCAUCGCGUUGACGUUGUCGACGUGAUCGUCGGGAUCUGUAGUCCCGUCGUACACAGCUAGAUUUGGUGGUUUCUCCAUGCCUUUGGGGAGCGGGGCUUCCAUUAUUGCCCGAGAUAGGGGGCAAUGCAAAUCUUCCUCGUCGCUCCUUAAGGGAGACAGUUCGUUGUUGUCGGGGCUGUGUCCGCGCCUUGGUGAUGUUCCCGCUCGACCACCGUCACGACGGGCGCGUGCCCUGCUGACGUGGGGUUCUGGAGAGCGACGUCCUCGCUUCUUCGUUGGCUCCGAACGUUGUUGUAUCCUACUCACCGGCUGGGGCCGGGCCUCUUGUCGUUCGGCUUCGAGGGCCAUGAUUCGUUCGUGCUGCUGGUGGAGCAUAGAACCGGCCUGAUUGAGGGCAUUCACCAUGGCAAUCAUUACGGCGUCUCCUUCAACGGGAACGGGAAUGGGAUGAAAUGUCUCUGCCCCUAAAUUGUGGGCGUGAGAGGCAUCUCCGUUGUUUUGGGGCUCUGGAGACGGGGUGGAUGGAUGACCGUCCCGAACGUCCGCUUCAUGGGAUGGCGGGCCGUCGUCCAUAUUGUAGUUGACGAGGGGACGGCUGUGAUCGCUAUGUUGUUCUCCGGCCAUGUUGGAAGGACAGAAAUAAAUGAGCUUUUGAUCCUCGUUUGAUGAAGAUGGGGAUAGCUAGUUCCCACAGACGGCGCCACUGAUCUCACCUGAUCAGGAGGGCCUUCCAAGGUCUUGGUGAAUGGGCCGGAGAAUGAAAUGAGAGGGGGGUGUACCUGCAAGGUGCUCCAAUGCUUAAGUCAGAAAAGGUACAGAAUGAGAUUAUCAGAGUGUGAGUUAGAAUACCUGCCCCUUUGCCAUGAAAGGGGUAUUUAUAUUGAGCCCCCAGCGCUGGGCCAAGGCUCCUAAUGGGCUGGAUUAGCUAGGCCCAAGGAGGAGCUGCCAGGGGACGCGUAAGAAGCGUUAAGACCUAGACCAAGGUCUGCCCCCUGGUCCAACUGCCCCUAUCCCUAAGGAGACAAUAUAGGGGAGUUGGGUGACGUGGUGAGUGAGAUGCCGUUAUGGCUCUGCCCGACACAACCUAGGUGCCCGCGGCGUGGGUUGACGAUGAGUGGAUGGAGAUCAUAUGAGGAGGACCCGCUCGUUGUCCGACACGUAUUUAAGGGGCCGGGGAGACAUUCUCCGGGCGGACGGUCGUUCACCUGACGUGUCCUCGUGGUCGCUUGGAUACGGUCGUUUGGACGUGGGCUUGGCGAGCAUUGGGCCGCGCCGUGCUAAGCGUCGUGGCCCAGUCCAGAACAAAUAUUAAAUAAAUAUUUUAUAAAUAAUUAUGUAUUAAUUAUUAUAUAAUAAAAGUGUGAUAAAUAUUAAGAGAACUUGGCUUUCCUUAAAAAUUCAUAAAGUGGGUUAUGCUUACUGUCACUAUUGUUUUCUAUAGGUACCGAAUUAUGAAAUAUAUUUAUAUGUUUAACUAAUAAUAUUUAAUAUGAAAUUUAUUUAUAUAAUAAACUAAUAUUAUUAAAUAUGGAAUAUAUUUAUACAAUACAUUAAUAUUAUUAAAUUUGAAAUAUAUUUAUAUUAUAAAUUAAUAUUAUUGAAUAUGAAAUAUAUUUAUAUAAUAAUAUUAUUAGAUAUUUAAUAAUAUUAAAUAAAUAUUUUAUAAAUGAUUAUGUAUUAAGUAUUAAUAUUGAGAGAGCUCGGCUUCCUUCAGAAGUUCAUAAAGUGGGUUAUGCUUACUGUCAAUAUUGUUUUCUAUAGGUACAUAAUUAAUGGUGAUCCCACAUCCAUCUUGAAAGCUAAAAUGGGCUUGAUACAAAGGGAUCCCCUAUCUUGGUUGCUCUUUAUUAUUGUUAUGGAGUACAUAUACAAGAUCCUCCAAAAGAUGAAGAAGAACCCAAACUUCA
rnacentral:lncRNA from 1 species